rnacentral:rRNA from 1 species
AGUGAACGCUGGCGGCGUGCCUAAUACAUGCAAGUCGAACGGAGUGGCGCACGGGUGAGUAAUAUAUAGCUAAUCUGCCCCUUGCUGGCGGACAACAGUGAGAAAUGACUGCUAAUACUCCAUAGCAAGGGAUGAGACGUUAUCGUGUCAGCUAGUCGGUGGGUGAACGGCCUACCGAGGCUAUGACGCGUAACUGGUCUGAGAGGAGGAUCAGUCACAUGGGAACUGAGACACGGUCCAAACUCCUACGGGAGGCAGCAGUAGGGAAUAUUGCGCAAUGGGGGAAACCCUGACGCAGCAACGCAGCGUGGAGGAUGACACUUAUCGGAGCGUAAACUCCUUUGGUUAGGGAAGCGGUACCUAACGAAUAAGCACCGGCUAACUCCGUGCCAGCCGCCGCGGUAAUUC